rnacentral:rRNA from 1 species
UGGGGAAUUUUGGACAAUGGGCGAAAGCCUGGUCCAGCGACGCCGCGUGAGGGACGAAGCCCUUCGGGGUGUAAACCUCUGUUGUGAGGGACGAAUAAGAUCUGGAGGAAAUGCCAGAUCGAUGACGGUACCUCACGAGAAAGCCCCGGCUAACUACGUGCCAGCAGCCGCGGUAAUACGUAGGGGGCGAGCGUUACCCGGAUUCACUGGGCGUAAAGGGGGCGCAGGCGAUCCAGUAUGUCGGGUGUGAAAUCCCACAGCUCAACUGUGGAAUUGCGCCCGAAACUACUGGGUUUGGGGCUGGUAGAGGGAGACGGAACUGCUGGUGUAGGGGUGAAAUCCGUAGAUAUCAGCAGGAACGCCGGUGGGGAAGCCGGUCUCCUGGGCCAAGCCCGACGCUGAGGCCCGAAAGCUAGGGGAGCAAACC